AGAUACCCGGGUAGUCCUAGGUGUAAACGCUGUGGACUUGAUGUUGGGGGUGCUCCGAGCACUCUCAGUGUCGAAGCGAAGGUGAUAAGUCCACUGCCUGGGAAGUACGGUCGCAAGGCUGAAACUUAAAGGAAUUGGCGGGGGAGCACCGCAACCUGAGGAUUGUGCGGUUUAAUUGGAUUCAACGCCGGAAAACUCACCAUAGCCGACGGACAAAUGAAGGUCAGUGUAACGAACUUACCGGAUUGUUCGAGAGGUAGUGCAUGGCCGCCGUCAGUUCGUACCGCAAGGCGUUCUGUUAAGUCAGAUAACGAACGAGACCCUCAUCUCUAUUUGCUAACUGAAUCUCCGGAUUCAGUGCACUAUAGAGAGACCGCUGGCGCUAAGUCAGAGGAAGGGGAGGGCAACGGUAGGUCAGUAUGCUCCGAAUGCUAUGGGCUACACGCGCAAUACAAAGGACGGGACAAUGGGCUGCUGCUCCGAAAGGAACGAUAGCUAUCCCGAAACCCGUUCGUAGUUCGGAUUGAGGGCUGUAACUCGCCC
rnacentral:rRNA from 1 species